rnacentral:sRNA from 1 species
AGCAGCCGCGGUAAUUCCAGCUCCAAUAGCGUAUAUUAAAGUUGUUGCAGUUAAAAAGCUCGUAGUUGAAUUUCGGGAUCAAUAUUUCGGUCAUGCCGUUGGUAUGCACUGUUAUAAUUGAUUUCUCACCUUCUAAAGAACCGUAAUGCCAUUAAUUUGGUGUUACGGGGAAUUAGGACUGUUACCUUAGAAAAAUUAGAGUGUUUAAAGCAGGCUCACGCUUGAAUACAUUAGCAUGGAAUAAUGAAAUAGGACAUCCGAUUCUAUUUUGUUGGUUUCUAGGAUCGAUGUAAUGAUUAAUAGGGAUAGUUGGGGGCAUUAGUAUUCAAUUGUCAGAGGUGAAAUUCUUGGAUUUAUUGAAGACUAACUACUGCGAAAGCAUUUGCCAAGGAUGUUUUCAUUAAUCAAGAACGAAAGUUAGGGGAUCGAAGACGAUCAGAUACCGUCGUAGUCUUAACCAUAAACUA